rnacentral:rRNA from 1 species
UACGGGGGGGGGCAAGCGUUGUUCGGAAUUACUGGGCGUAAAGGGUUCGUAGGUGGCUGGCUAAGUCAGACGUGAAAUCCCUCAGCUCAACUGGGGAACUGCGUCUGAGACUGGUCAGCUUGAGUGCAGGAGAGGAACGCGGAAUUCCAGGUGUAGCGGUGAAAUGCGUAGAUAUCUGGAGGAACACCGGUGGCGAAGGCGGCGUUCUGGACUGCAACUGACACUGAGGAACGAAAGCCAGGGGAGCGAACGGG